rnacentral:rRNA from 1 species
AGAGUUUGAUCCUGGCUCAGAAUCAACGCUGGCGGNNNNNNUAACACAUGCAAGUCGAACGAGAAAGUGGAGCAAUCCAUGAGUACAGUGGCGUACGGGUGAGUAACACGUGGGUAAUCUACCUUUUAGUGAGGAAUAACCGAGGGAAACUUUGGCUAAUACCGCAUAAGUCCGAGAGGAGAAAGUCGAAAGACGCUGAAAGAGGAGCCCGCGGCCGAUUAGCUAGUUGGUGGGGUAAGAGCCCACCAAGGCAGAGAUCGGUAGCCGGCCUGAGAGGGCACACGGCCACACUGGCACUGAAACACGGGCCAGACUCCUACGGGAGGCAGCAGUGGGGAAUCUUGCACAAUGGGGGAAACCCUGAUGCAGCGACGCCGCGUGAGCGAUGAAGCCCUUCGGGGUGUAAAGCUCUUUCGUCAGGGAAGAUAGUGACGGUACCUGGAGAAGCAGCUGCGGCUAACUACGUGCCAGCAGCCGCGGUAAUACGUAGGCAGCAAGCGUUGUUCGGAGUUACUGGGCGUAAAGGGUGUGUAGGCGGUUCUUUAAGUUUGGUGUGAAAUCUCCCGGCUCAACUGGGAGGGUGCGCCGAAUACUGAGGGACUAGAGUACGGGAGAGGAAAGUGGAAUUCCUGGUGUAGCGGUGAAAUGCGUAGAUAUCAGGAGGNNNNCCGGUGGUGUAGACGGCUUUCUGGACCGACACUGACGCUGAGACACGAAAGCGUGGGUAGCAAACAGGAUUAGAUACCCUAGUAGUCC